rnacentral:rRNA from 1 species
AUUGAACGCUGGCGGCAGGCCUAACACAUGCCAGUCGAGCGGAUGAAGGGAGCUUGCUCCUGGAUUCAGCGGCGGACGGGUGAGUAAUGCCUAGGAAUCUGCCUGGUCGUGGGGGAUAACGUCCGGAAACGGGCGCUAAUACCGCAUACGUCCUGAGGGAGAAAGUGGGGGAUCUUCGGACCUCACGCUAUCAGAUGAGCCUAGGUCGGAUUAGCUAGUUGGUGGGGUAAAGGCCUACCAAGGCGACGAUCCGUAACUGGUCUGAGAGGAUGAUCAGUCACACUGGAACUGAGACACGGUCCAGACUCCUACGGGAGGCAGCAGUGGGGAAUAUUGGACAAUGGGCGAAAGCCUGAUCCAGCCAUGCCGCGUGUGUGAAGAAGGUCUUCGGAUUGUAAAGCACUUUAAGUUGGGAGGAAGGGCAGUAAGUUAAUACCUGGCUGUUUUGACGUUACCAACAGAAUAAGCACCGGCUAACUUCGUG